UACUCGUGGCAACUGAUAUCUCGGCUCUCGUACCAAUGAAGAACGUAGCGAAAUGUGAUAUUUGGUGUGUAUUGCAGAAUCCCUUGAACCAUCGAUCGAGUCUUUGAACAUAAAUUACACCCAAGCCUUCUGGCAAAGGGCUGUUGGGUGUCA